rnacentral:lncRNA from 1 species
UCAGGAUGGGAUGAAUCUUAGCAGAUGAAUCAAAUUAAAGCAUAUAAACACUGAGUAAAUUGGAAUACAGAAACAGCUCAUCAAAGCAUCCAUCAAGCAACUGCGUCAAGAUUUGACAAUUGAGUUUCAAAAUUGAUGUUCUGAAAUUUCCACAACUCCAUCUCCACAGCUCCUCUACUUCUUCUCUGCAACUGAUCACUCCAUUGAAUCCAUUUAUUUCCUGCAAACAAAAAGAAAGAAAACAAACAUAAAACAAACCUUUUCAACAAGAAAAUCACUACAGAAAUGAAUUUAUUUCUAGGCUCCCUCCUAGUAGGGCU